GACGUAGGUGGCAAGCGUUGUCCGGAUUUACUGGGCGUAAAGGGAGCGUAGGUGGAUAUUUAAGUGGGAUGUGAAAUACUCGGGCUUAACCUGGGUGCUGCAUUCCAAACUGGAUAUCUAGAGUGCAGGAGAGGAAAAGUAGAAUUCCUAGUGUAGCGGUGAAAUGCGUAGAGAUUAGGAAGAAUACAGUGGCGAAGGCGACUUUCUGGACUGUAACUGACACUGAGGCU
rnacentral:rRNA from 1 species